rnacentral:rRNA from 5 species
GGUUAAGCGACUAAGCGUACACGGUGGAUGCCCUGGCAGUCAGAGGCGAUGAAGGGCGUGCUAAUCUGCGAUAAGCGCCGGUAAGGUGAUAUGAACCGUUAUAACCGGCGAUACCCGAAUGGGGAAACCCAGUGUGAUUCGUCACACUAUCAUUAACUGAAUCCAUAGGUUAAUGAGGCGAACCGGGGGAACUGAAACAUCUAAGUACCCCGAGGAAAAGAAAUC